rnacentral:misc_RNA from 1 species
UUUCUAGCCAAGACAUCGUCGAAGCUUGAGGAAAAGCUGCACAAAUGGGAAAAGGAACAGGAAGUUUCGGUAAGAGGAGGAACAAGACACACACACUGUGUGUUAGAUGUGGUCGACGUAGCUUCCACAUCCAGAAGAGUCGUUGUUCAGCUUGUGCUUACCCUGCUGCUCGUCUCAGAAAAUAUAAUUGGAGUGUCAAGGCACUUAGAAGGAAGACCACUGGAACUGGUCGCAUGAGGUAUCUCCGCAAUGUUCCCCGCAGGUUUAAGACAAACUUCAGAGAAGGAACUGAAGCAGCUCCAAGGAAGAAG